rnacentral:misc_RNA from 1 species
CUCGGGGUGCCGCAGCGCAAACUACAUCAUCUCGUCAGCUGUUAGCGCACAUUCACAGCGGAAACGCACAAAGCAUCGUGCGAGCGCGGCUGUUAGACGUCUGUAAUAUCCCCAGUCAGAUGCAUUAGCCCCUCUCCCUUUAUUUCCCUUUUCCUGCUCGUCGCUCUGCAGCCUAUUUGUGGCUGGACCGCCUCUCUCCGUCACCGCAGUCAGCCACACACACACACACACCAUCUCUUUUCUGCUUUGAGCGUUUUAUCAUGUGACUUCCUUGAAGGAGCACCGCGCAUCUACUUGAUCAACGCGUGCCAUAACUGAAUUGCUCUAAAGACAUUCAUCGCCGUCUUUCCGCGACGGAGGCCAGCGCCGCAAACACCCAUACGUACCGGAGGCACAUCAAUACAUUCCUCUCUUCUAGUCCGCCUACACCCUCGCAUACAGCCUUCGGCAUCGAACACUUCUCGCGCACUGGCGCAUCUCUCUGGCACACGGAGAGGAGUUCGCACGAAAGCGAAACGGAAGUGGUUGUCUGCACAAGAGCACGGUGAGGCCCUUCGCAGCACCGCUUCAACUCGCGCAUAGAUACACGUACACAUACACACACACACACACGCACACAUACGCACAUACGCACACUCGCGCGCGAGCGACUUUCUUCCCCCUCUCUCCCCAUCACUGGAUUAUAGAGAGAGAGCGCGUCUUGGAGACGCAGACGUCUGAUUUUCGUGGCGUAUGGAUCACACAUCAAAGUAGUAACGCGUACACUGCGCAUCUGUCUUGCGUUCACUGGCUGCCUCCGCCUCUUUUCCUUUCGCAUCUCUCACACGUGCCCGCAUCUUUCUGUCUUAUCAUCACACGCACACACGCACACACACACAGGCACAGGCACAGGCACAGGCACAGGCACAGGCACAGGCACAGGCACAGAGAGGUACGCCUGUUAUUUCGCUUUCUGUUGGCGUGUGUGUGUGUGUGUGGCGUAAGCGAUCUCUGACGUGCCUCUCUCUCUGUAUAUGUAUAUACAUACAUGUAUAUAUAUGCAUAUAUAUACAUAAACAGAGUAUCCCACGAUCUUUCCUGCUUCAGUUGCUUUUCGCACUCUCUGCCUCUCUUUGCGCGUUUACAUUGAUACUGCUCGGGAGGAGGGGGGAGGUGCGGCGUCUUCCAGAGGGUCCGCGAGACCAACAAGGAAAGCACAGGCGAGCGGCAAGGACACAAUCCCUUCACUAGAGAAGAUUUCCAUACAUGCGAGCAAAGAUAGACGACGAGAACUCGUCCGUGGCCGUCACGCUUCUGCCUUCAGCACAGGUGGAGCCUCUGGCCAGCUCUCAGCCUCCCACACGCACCGGCGCCGUGGGCACCAUGGUGAACACUGAUGCCAUCGAUGCACGAGGCAAUGAUGCAGAAAGCUCUGGUGGCGGGAGCGCGCCAUCUUCGAUGGCCACGACGACUACAAUCAACGCAGUCUUCUACAACCCCUCCGCGCAGCUGCCGACGCCGCCACCACUGCAUCGGAACUCGUCGUCGCCGGCGCCGAUGCAGCAUCUGCAGCACGAGGAACCGCAGCGACUUCGAGCUGUCCCCUACUUUCCUGCGUCCUGCGAGUCCGACAGCAACGAGGAGCCUCUCUUCCAGCAUCCUCCACCUGCAAAGCCCAGAGCACCCCUUCGGCCGGCCCCGCAGUCGGGCCGUCUGUGGGGCGCUGUGAGUGCGACGCCGUCGUCCGCCGGCUUUGUUAGCGGUGGAACCGCUCCGUACGCUUCCCUUCUCCACACCUCAUCCGCCCCGGCCGUGGCAGACACAGAGACGUCGAGCACAACGGCGGGACAUGGCUUAGUUGUCGGCUGUGAAACCUCGAAUCACUGCCUUCCGGCGUCCAUCAAGGCGCACCCCCCUGCGUCCGCCACUAGCCCUGCAAGCAUACACGGAGGCUACUCGGACAGUGUCAGUGACUCCACGGCAACGACGACGGUUGGAAAUCAUAGCAGUGGCGGCCGCGGGCUGCGACGGCCUCCGUUAAUGACGGGGCCCAACGGCGCGGCAGUGCCGUUGGCGUCACCGAUGCUGAGUGGGCCGCAGGGUCGGUGGGUAAGGUCUUCGGGCGACGAGAGCAGCAGCGGCUUUGCAACCCUGGCUGUGCCUGCGGCGCCUGCCAACUUGGGGGACACGGUACUCGUCGCCGAGCCGCCGACACCAACGAAGCAGCGUCGCACGAUUCACACAGGAAUGGGCAACACGGUAAGUCUUUCAUGCGGAGGCAUCGUCGCCGCUCCUCGGUUGUCCACCUCCGCUGCAGCCAGCACCGGAACCUGCGCCUCGGCUGCUGCCGCAACGUCCGCCGCCGCUGUUGCCGGAGGUGCGUCACCAAAGCCGUCUCUGCGCAUUGCCGCGCCAUUUCGAGGACUCGGCUACAACCCAGCGGCUAACAGCGUAUCAGCGCCUGCUUCGCGUGCCACCACGUCGAGCAUGAGCACCGCCCCUCCACCGCCGUCCUUCAAGUGCUACCGCCGCGAGGGCAGCCGGAAGCGGUCCGCCGACGUUCUGUCGCAGUUCAGCGCACUUGACCUUGAUGAAACACCAGCAACGCCUUUUGCGCAGACGGGCACCAGUCGUUUUACCAGCAUCAACCACAACGGCAACGGGCACAACGCCUUCCCAUCGCAGCCGUCACCGUCGACGGCUGUCUACCGGGGCGCCGGCGGCGGCAGCAAUGCGAUCAGCACCGUUUCCCCUCUUACCAUAGACUACGCCACACCUGUGGCUCUGUCUCAGCAGAUUGGUGGCUCGAAUACCUUCUCGCAGGUGCUCCUGCAUCCAUCUCAGGACGUUCUGGACAUGUCGCAGGCCGAAACGGAAUGCUCGAACUUCUUGGCGCGGCGCAUCCUAAAGGAGUACAACGAAGUACGACUUCUCGGCAGCGGCUCCUUCGGCACGGUUUCCUUGUUCAAGGAGAUCAGCUCAGGCGAGUAUGUCGCAGUGAAGAUGUCGCCGCCGCUACGGACGCCGGAGAUGGAGCGGCGAUACCGCCGCGAGCGGUCUGUGAUGGGCAUGGUGCGGGGGCUGCCGCACGUCGUGCAGCUCUCUGCCGCCUGGGAGGAAGGUCGGGUGCCGCGCAUGUAUCUGCAGCUGGAGUACUGUCCUGGCGGCUCCGUCGCAUCUGUCGCGAACGCGAAGCAGAGCCGGAAUGAGCCCUGGUCGGAGGCGGAGGUGAAGGUAUUCCUAGCUCACAUGAGCAUCGCACUCGAUGCGCUGCACCGCGCCAACAUUGCGCACGUCGACUUCAAGCCGGACAACGUCCUCGUCGAUAAGGACGGGGCGUACAAGCUGUCUGAUUUCGGCUGCAGCGUGCUACUGGAUGAGAGAGGCCGACCGAGACCAGAGACGCGGAACGGCUACGGAUCCCUGGCACGAGGCCAACGAGCUGGCUGGGUCGGAGGUGUCGCGUGCGCGAACCCGAACGGCGGACCUGCUGUUCACACAGGUGCUGGCGUUGGCGCUGGCGGGCUGGGCUCUUCCCUGGACUUCAACAACUGGAACGAAGGCAACGAGCUGAGCACGAUGAGCAUUGACGAGGGCGAUUGCCGGUACCUGUGCGCCGACAUGCUGAAUGAAAAACAGCACUUCAAGGCUGGUGACAUGUUCUCGUUAGGGAUGUCGCUUUUCGAACUCAUGUCAGGCCAACCACUCCCCCGCAAUGGCGAUCAGUUCCUAGCACUCCGCCGCCGCGUGCCGGUGGAGGUGCUGCGCCGCCGCGGAUACUCGGCCGACCUGGUGGAGCUUGUCGUGGCGCUCUUGCGUAGCGAUCCCCCACAGCGACCGACUGCACGACAGGUUCUACAGUACCUCCGGCUCUCUUCCGAGGAACUUCAGCUGCUGUCGAGCGCCUCGGCGAUGAAGCGGUGGACAGAGAGCGCUGAAAGCUUUUUGCAACUGCAGGAGGAGGAGCGGCAGCAGCCACCGCUCGGCAAGGAUGGUGUCUUGGCUGCCACCGUGGACGCGCUGCGGUGUGUGAGUGCGCUCAUGGAGGCGUCAAUGUGGCUCUUCACGACAACUCAGCAGGAUGUGCACCGACUCGCUGCCCCAGCAAACGCUGGCAAGGGAGAGGAUGAGGAGGAUGAGCGGCGCCGCCAGCAAACUCAGCAGCCACAACCGCAGCCGUUGCUCCAGCUCCCUCGCGGACAACAAUUAGAAGACUUGCCCAUGUCUCCGAUCCAGUGCGAUGAGGCGUGCACGCCGACUGCACUGAAUUACUAGUGUCCGCGGGUAUCGCUGCUGCUGCGCGACACGGCAAACAACCCGUUCAUGUAGUUCUUUGCCUCUGCUGCUCCUGUACACUCCACAAUCAUGUACACCCAGCCUCUGUGCUUGCGUGCACCCCUCCUCCUCCCUCCUCUUCUCAGGGGUAGGGGUGAGGUGCCGACUCUGUGGCCAGCAUGUUGGCGGACGGUGCCUUUCACAAGCAUCUUCAGUUUCUUUUUUGUGUGGAUUCGCUCUUUGCUAUUAUUAGUUUCCUUUCUUGCGAUCUUUCCCCCCCUCCCUGCACCAUUUGCUUUUCAGUGAUUCUGGUCUCUUCCAGCCAUGCCGACGGUCGAGCGUGAGCGUGUGUGUGAGUGCGUCUACGCAUGUGCUGUGCUUUGCUGUACGGCGCCGGCGCCUCUCAUGCGCCCUUUCUCAUACCCUCCCUGCGUCUUCCUCCCCCGCGGCGGAGGAGGAAGGAAGGACAUACGGAGAAACAGAGAGAGAAAGGGGAGGGAGGGGGAGGGGACGACGAGGACGCGAGCGACUCUACGCACUCCCCGGCACCUACGCAUUCGCUUCACAACGUUCGCCACCUUUUGCUUUGGACCUUUCGGUUCUUUUAUUUUAUUUUUUUCUUUGCUCGGCUUCAUAGAUCGUUUUGGCACAAGGAGGAUGUUUCUUCGUGUGCCCCUCCAUCGACUUCCCCCACCCCCUUUCUGUCUUACUCUCUUGCGCUUGGUACUUUUCUUUUCCUAGAACCCUCGUGACAAGAAAAGGGGAGCGCACCUCUCAGGGCGUGGUGGUGUCACAGGGCCCAGUACAUCCCCUCCCACUCUCUCUGUGUGUGCGUGGAGAAGUCGGGCAGCCCCCCUCCCCUCCUGUGCUUGCGAAAUGCCGAGCGGCUUCUGGCGGUGACAGGGUCUGGUGACUGCGACGUGGGGAGGUCAGAGCGAUGCAUUGCUACUGAUGUCGGCAGUGAGGUCGUGGGCGGCGUUGCGUCGGAGCGACCCGCGCCGCUGAACGCGUCGGCGCCAUCGACAUGAUGGGCGAAGUGCCAGCGUGACUGGAAGGCGUCGCAGCCGGCCCUCACACUGCCCGCUGGUGUGUGUGGCGGGGGGCCUGGGGCACCGCACGAGGGGGUGCGCGAGGUGGUGGCGUGCGUGAUGGGUGCGGCUGUGAGGCGACCUGCGAGGCCGGGGCGGUGCUGAGGUGACUGCGUGUGUGCGCAUUGCUGUGAGGCAUGCGUCUCUGGCUGCAUUGCACCGCGCGGGGUGCGCCUGUGGCAGGGCCGGGGAGGGCUGGAGUGGGGCUUGACUCCUGUUGUAUGGCCGGGAGGAUGGGCUCACGGUGAUGAAAACAUCUUCUGGUGUGCUUGUGUGCCUGUGGUACUGUCUGCGUGUCUCAAUACCAGUCUCGGUGAAGGAUGACGUCCGUCGAUGCUGUUGUCGUUUUGUGCCUUUUAUGCCACUUCAUCUUAUUUUCCUUUUUGCUCGUUGGGGCCGUCGUUCCCCUCUUCCUCAAAGUGGUCUACGCAGGUGGCCAGCAAGCAACGCUCCAUGACCAUCUAACAUCGGCUCUGCAACAAGAUGCGCGCCGUACAACAUGCCUGUGUGCGUGUGCGUGUGUGCGUACGUCUUCCUGUCUGUGCUCUCUC